rnacentral:ncRNA from 1 species
GGAAUGCAUUGUUGAUAUUCUUCGUUAAAAAAUAAUGCAUUAAACUGACUGAUCAUCCAUAUUAUUGUAAAGGAGGUAUGUAACAUGGCAGGCGAUAUCGUAGGUACAAUCGGUGACUUCGUUAAAUUAAUCAUCGAAACUGUAAACAAAUUCACUAACAAAUAAUCCCUUUGUUUUAUUGUCCUUUGAGUAUAAGCACUAAAUUGUUUAAUCCUUUUCAGGAGGAAAUGUUUGUCCUUGCAUUUCCUUCUGGUCCUUAUUAUUUGUACGCCGGAUAGAAAAUUUGGUGUACAUAUUAGAAUAAUAAAUUAUCGUGAGCAUCAUUAAAAUUUAUCAAAUAUCGGUAAAUUCACUAAAAUUUUUCAUAAUUAAUAACAUCCCCAAAAAUAGAUAGAAAAAUAACUGUAAACAUUCCCUUAAUAAUAAGUUUAAUAGCCCGUGAGUUCCUCCCAAACUCACGGGCAU